GGAAAAAUGGUCUUGUGAUUAAAGCACUGGAGUGGGACUCCAGAGACCUGGCUUAAAUUCCUAGUUCUGCCA
rnacentral:tRNA from 1 species